rnacentral:rRNA from 1 species
UACAGAGGUCUCAAGCGUUGUUCGGAUUCAUUGGGCGUAAAGGGCGUGUAGGCGGGAAUGUAAGUCGGGCGUGAAAUCCCUAGGCUCAACCUAGGAACUGCACUCGAAACUGCGUUUCUUGAGUAUCGGAGAGGAAAGCGGAAUACCUGGUGUAGAGGUGAAAUUCGUAGAUAUCAGGUGGAACACCAGUGGCGAAGGCGGCUUUCUGGACGAUAACUGACGCUGAGACGCGAAAGCGUGGGGAGCAAACAGG